rnacentral:rRNA from 1 species
CUUGUAGGCGGUUGAUUAAGUUAGAGGUGAAAUCCCAGGGCUUAACCCUGGAAUUGCCUUUAAGACUGGUCAACUUGAGCGCGAUAGAGGGUGGCGGAAUUCCAAGUGUAGAGGUGAAAUUCGUAGAUAUUUGGAGGAACACCAGUGGCGAAAGCGGCCACCUAGAUCGUUGCUGACGCUGAGGAGCGAAAGCGUGGGGAGCAAAACA